GAUGAACGCUGGCGGCGUGCCUAAUACAUGCAAGUCGAGCGAACGGACGAGAAGCUUGCUUCUCUGAUGUUAGCGGCGGACGGGUGAGUAACACGUGGAUAACCUACCUAUAAGACUGGGAUAACUUCGGGAAACCGGAGCUAAUACCGGAUAAUAUUUUGAACCGCAUGGUUCAAAAGUGAAAGACGGUCUUGCUGUCACUUAUAGAUGGAUCCGCGCUGCAUUAGCUAGUUGGUAAGGUAACGGCUUACCAAGGCAACGAUGCAUAGCCGACCUGAGAGGGGGAACGGCCACACUGGAACUGAGACACGGUCCAGACCCCUACGGGAGGCAGCAGUAGGGAAUCUUCCGCAAUGGGCGAAAGCCUGACGGAGAAACGCCGCGUGAGUGAUGAAGGUCUUCGGAUCGUAAAACUCUUUUAUUAGGGAAGAACAUUUGUGUAAGUAACUGUGCACCUCUUGACGGUACCUAAUCAGAAAGCCACGGCUAACUACGU
rnacentral:rRNA from 1 species